GCUUUAUCUUUCGUGAGAUAUCAAUUAAUUAUCCACUCAUUCAAUCAUUCUUUUGCAUGGCAGGGCUUGGCAAGCUUUGAAGAAUGUUCAUAAGGAGAUUACCUUUGCAAAGAAGCUAACAUUUAAUCCUGUACCGUGCCCCCAGCAGCCACAAGGGACGAAUCUAUGUGGAUACUACGUUUGCGAGUCCAUUCGCAUGUUAACCACUGAGAAGCAGAACAGAAAUAAAUUCGACGUCGACUUCAUGCGGGACAGACUCCAACCAAAGGAACACGCACUAGGAAUCGCGGAGGAACUGGCGGGACUUUUGGUUAGAGAAGUAAUAAACAACAAAGGCUUGUUUAGUCCAGAUAGUUGUUCUACCUCCAAAUAGACGGUCGUUAGUACCGUUUGUCGAUCGUGAGCUCCAUGUAUAUAUGUAGGGAACCUACGAAUAUGUGUAAGGGGAAUCGACUUCUGCUUCCAAUCUUUGUUUGAUCGAUCUAUAUAUAUAUAAUGAAUGAAUGUGUACAACUUCUA